UUACACCUUCUUCCUCACUCUCCUCUGCAGCAUUUUGCUCUUUCUUAAACAAGUUUUCACAGAGGUGCCACCAGCUUUGCUGAUGGCUCAGCUGUGUCUUGUGGUGGGCCCACUGCAGAGCCGGCUGGACCCAGCUGUGUCUGGCAUCGCCUCACAGAGACCGGCCUGCAGCCCCCUCUGCAGCACCUUGCAAUAGACACCUGACACACAGCCAUGACAAAAAAUAGUUCAAAAAAGCUUCAUAAAAUAUUAUGGAGAGAACUCAAAGGUCAUCACAGAUGACCUCCAGGGUGACCAAUCUCAUCAGAAAUCAGGUGAGACAGUUAUUCUGACUUUGAUUGAAAGCAAUGAGAAAAGUUCAAGAUGUUUUAUGACUUGUGUGAUUGAGGCAAAGAAUCAUGGACAGAGGAGGAUUUCAAAGUAGAUCGCUCCUUGAGGUGCAAGCUGUCACUAUAGCUUACAUUAUACCUUCAAGCAUGGAUUCUGCUCUGCAAGCCAGACAUGUCGAAGGGACUCAAAGCAUGCUUGAAAUUACUUACCUGACUGCACUUUGUGUGAAGAACUCUAUCCUCUCAGCUGUUUUAGAUUAACAGUGAAUUACAGUUCACUUCAAUGCAAUUAGACCUAAUGAGGUGCGUAUGGAGGCUAUUGGGCCACCAUGUAACCACAUUAUAUGGACUUGCUAGUUGCCGUUUUAAUCAAUUGGUUUGACCUUUGAAUGCAAAGUACUACGAAGCACAAAGAAGUUCAUGGCCCAGAUACCUAUUUACUCAAAUGCAGGGAGAGAUGAUAAAAAAUUAGCCUCUGCUCAGGAAUAACUGUUUCUCUGGGUAAUCUUUACAAAAGAAAUCCUGUUUGCAAAAGGCUGGUCAUAUCAUAAGAGCAGUUAAAAUAUUGGCAUCCCUAUUUUACUUUCUCCUUCUAUGACCUGAUUUUAAACUUAUGUCUUGCAUCGUUGGCUAUUUAGGAACCAGGGUUAAAUUUCAAGAAACAAUUCCAUUUUAUCAGAUUGAGUUGUGGUAAUGAAAAUCAAACACAACCUCAUGUGAGACUGUUGAAAAUAGGCAGACUUCAUGUAAGGCAGCUUUGUUUAACUGUGUGUGUGCCAAAUUCUAAUUUACAGAAUUGAACUUUCAUAUGAAGUGGCUGUUCAGGGUGGGGAGUUAAAUGUAGAGUUAAAGCUGCGAGAGAUGAUGUUUUGUUUCUCAGGGAAACUUUCUGAGCAUAGCAAAAUGAAAAGCAGUAGGACUAUUUCUACAGGUUUUACAUACAUAUAAAUCUGUUGUUCCCUACAUAACCA